AGCCAAGUGGACAUGGCAUCUGCCCCGUAAGCAGAACACUGUGGGUUCGAUUCCCAU
rnacentral:tRNA from 1 species